CUGGGUUUUUUUUCCACUUCGCUGCGGUGCAGUUUGGUUUGAGUUCUCUGCCGCAAAAUUGACAGCUGAAUAAAAUGUUAUUAUAUUUACACCAUAAUUUGCAUGGCAAUUAAUCAAAUGGCAUGCGAAAUUCGACAACGGCCACGGAAAGGUAAAGGCAAUCCCAGGCGACACAUUUUGUUGGUGGGUGCCCAGGUAUUUUCUGGGAAUUAUUCUAACAAACUUCCACAGCAGAAAACAAAAAACAAAGCAAAAAGUUUCGCCCCGCCCAAAUGUCUUUAUUAGGAGUUGGCUGCCUGAAAAUGGAGCUCGUUAGGGAAGCAAAAAAACAGAUACAUUUGGAAAUUCAAUUCUGAAAUACCUAGUUCAUCGUUUUUAACAUGUAAUUAACAGUUUCAAACUUGUAAUUAACAGGACUAAUAAAUACUUUGAGUAACGUAGAAAA